GAGGUUUUAGCUUAAUUAAAGUGUCUGAGUUGCAAUCAGGUGAUGCAAGUUAGAGUUUUGCAAGCCUUC
rnacentral:tRNA from 1 species